rnacentral:rRNA from 1 species
UAAAGAUUCAUCGCUGAUAGAUAGGCAUGCGUUCCAUUAGGCAGUUGGCGGGGUAACGGCCCACCAAACCGACGAUGGAUAGGGGUUCUGAGAGGAAGGUCCCCCACAUUGGUACUGAGACACGGACCAAACUCCUACGGGAGGCAGCAGUGAGGAAUAUUGGUCAAUGGGCGUAAGCCUGAACCAGCCAAGUCGCGUGAGGGAUGAAGGUUCUAUGGAUCGUAAACCUCUUUUAUAAGGGAAUAAAGUGUGGGACGUGUCCUAUUUUGUAUGUACCUUAUGAAUAAGGAUCGGCUAACUCCGUGCCAGCAGCCGCGGUAAUACGGAGGAUCCGAGCGUUAUCCGGAUUUAUUGGGUUUAAAGGGUGCGUAGGCGGCCUUUUAAGUCAGCGGUGAAAGUCUGUGGCUCAACCAUAGAAUUGCCGUUGAAACUGGGGGGCUUGAGUAUGUUUGAGGCAGGCGGAAUGCGUGGUGUAGCGGUGGAAUGCUUAGAUAUCACGCAGAACCCCGAUUGCGAAGGCAGCCUGCCAAGCCAUGACUGACGCUGAUGCACGAAAGCGUGGGGAUCAAACAGGAUUAGAUACCCUGGUAGUCCACGCAGUAAACGAUGAUCACUAGCUGUUUGCGAUACAGUGUAA